AUAGGCCUUCCUUCAAAGCAGCCCGCCUUUUUUAUUCUGAGGAGAAUAUUAACCAUUUCGACGGUGUUGCUCAGUGUAUUUAUAUACAGUUACUCAUUUUGCCUCAGGUUAUAGCAGCAGGAAAUUUUAAUAGGAAAAUUUGAGGUUCUAAGUCCCAAAAUUUCCUCAAAUUUGCAAAGGAGAGAGUCAUAAAACCUUUAAAAAUAGACAAUAGGAAAUUUGGGGUUCUAAAUCCCAACAUUACCUCAGAUUUGCAAGGCGAAAUGUCAUAACACCGCCUUUAUUUUAUAUUUAAUAGGAAAUUAGAGGUUCUAAAUCACAAAAUUACCUCAGAUUUUCAAAAUUGAGGGUCAUAAAAACUUUAAAUUUCAUUUUCUGGUUUUGAUAGGAAAUUUGGGGUUCUAAAUCCCAAAAUUACGUCAGAUUUGCAAUGUGCAGAGUCACAACACAAUCUUUAAAAUACGUUUAAUAGGAAAUUUGAGGUUCUAAAUCCCAAAAUUAUCUCAGAUCUGCAAAGCAAAGAGUCAUAACACCGCUUUUAAUUUAUAUUUAAGAGGAAAUUUGAGGUUCUAAAUGACAAAAUUGCCUCAGAUUUGCAAAGCGGACAGUCAUAACACCGCCUUUAAUUUAUAUUUAAUAGGAAAUUUGGGGUUCUAAAUUACCUUUGGUUCCUGCCAAAGGUAUGCAAUCUAAAAUACUAAGGAAAAUAGAAGAAUAACAAAUCACAAAACAGGGUUGUUUUGUAUUAUUCGGGCAAUAUGGCCAUGUUCCAGAAAUACAUAGCCAUACUGCCCGGAAAACACAAAACAACCCUGUGUUCCCGGCCAUGAAAACCUUCGACAACACAAAUCACAAAACGGCGUAAUAGAAUUUGCAAAACCAAAUCCUCCAGAUAAAUUGCAAAUGAAGAACACAACCUAAUGCAAAGCCAGCUGACAAUACAGCUGGUAUGGCAUAGUGCUGUGGAAACAUGAGAGCUGUAGUUCGGCAGGAAUCAAUGCACAGCAUCUACGUCUCCCAACGGUGUUCAUCCCUAAUGAGGCUGGGGGUCCUGUAUGGACCCAUUAUCUCUGCGCCUUGAUGGGACAACAAAGUUCAGAGGACAAUAUACCCAGAUACAACUUUCACUGAAAUGAAACACUCUACAAGUCCUACGGCCCAUGACAACGGAGCUUGAACAGAGUGCUUUGCAGACAAUUCUGCCAGACCAGUGGCACCCCUGGGUUGGUGUCAUCUCCCUGGACCUCCUCCCAGACCAGACCAUACUGAACCUUAGUAAUGUUUUCGUAAUGAUUUUUCUCAUAAACCAUUGCUUAUAAAUCUGAACAAACCUGCAACUAUAUUUUUUAAAAAGCCAGCUGCAACACAAACACACGUAUGGACAAAACGACGCAGUGCAAAGCGUCAUUGUAAUUGGGUAAUAAUGACAGCUCUGACCAGAGUGCAUGCGCAUGAGAAGGUUUAAAGAGUAAAUGAGACUUUGACAACACAUAGAGUGUUAACCUUGAAGAUGUAUCUAUAAAGUACACUAAGCUAGGGUUACAAAAAUGUUUUUGUCCUUAUGACUAACUACCAGGAUGUUUUUAUUCAGACGUAAAUAUCUCUAAACAAUGCACAAAUAUUUUAUAGAUAAUUCCCUCAACAGCAGCCCAAUGGGCCUCCUCACUGUGGUGCAUGGAUGGGUGAGCACUGAUUCAGUUUCAUGGACCCGGUGCAACCUCAUAAGCAUUGGAUUGCACCUCUAUAUUUCCUCUCACAUCAAGUGUGCUAAAGCUGUAGUUCUGAGCAUAACUUCUUUGGAAGCAAUUCCCAGCUGACCAUCUUUAACUCUAUAUGGAAAGUGGCUAGAACCAGGAUGCUUUAAAGCCUCUUCAUUGUUGUCUCUAUAAGUGAGGGUUGUGUAAGAACAAUAAUGAAACCAUCCCCUCUCUUUAAGCUAAUUACACCUUCCCUAUACAACCAAACAAUACGCAGAGACAAAGUAAGCUUAGCUGAAUGCAAGCAGAACUCAAUUAGCACGGUGCGCCAUUAUAAACAAGCAACAUAUGCACAUAAUCAUUUUUAUGGGCUCCAUUCUUUAAAAACACUUGCGUCCAAUUCCUUAUCUUUAUGACUUCCAGUCACGAUGCAAAAUGCAAACUGUGUAUUUCAACAGAGACACAGCAUCAUGAAAACAG